rnacentral:rRNA from 1 species
UACAGAGGGUGCGAGCGUUAAUCGGAAUUACUGGGCGUAAAGCGCGCGUAGGCGGUUUGUUAAGUCGGAUGUGAAAUCCCCGGGCUCAACCUGGGAAUUGCAUUCGAUACUGGCAAGCUAGAGUAUGGGAGAGGAAGGUAGAAUUCCAGGUGUAGCGGUGAAAUGCGUAGAGAUCUGGAGGAAGACCGAUGGCGAAGGCAGCCUUCUGGCCUAAUACUGACGCUGAGGUGCGAAAGCAUGGGGAGCAAACAGG